GCCGGGCAUGGUGGUGCAUGCCUGAAGUUCCAGUUACUCAGAAGGCUGAGGUAAGAGGACUGCUUGAGCUCAGGAGUUCAAGGUUACAGUGAGCUAUAAUCACGCCACUGCACUCUAGCCUGGGCAACAGAGCAAGACCCUGUCUCAA
ensembl:misc_RNA Metazoa_SRP Metazoan signal recognition particle RNA